ensembl:lncRNA
CAGAAAAAUGGGGUCAAAUGUUAUACUGCCAGAGAAGCCAGCAGGGCAAUGUGAUUUCUCUUAGAGAUGUGGCUCUCUUGUCUCUUGAUUGUGGGAAUGGAAAACAAGACCAUGAUUCCAGGGGAUGACUCCAGGGGCUGCAUGUGUGGAGGGCAAGAGAUGGCCCAGCAUAGUCUAUAUUUCAUCAUGUAAGAUAUGAGGAUGAGAAGAUUAAUGAGGAAUGAGUUGGAGAGAUGGAUUGAUCUAGAGGACAGCAGUUUCUGAUGGGAGAUUUAAACAUCAGGCUUCAGUAAAAAUGGAACCAGGAAGCUUUGAGCAUCUAUACCCACUGCUCACACAGGGAAACAGACAAGGAUUUAAGAGGAUGUGGUUUAUGUGGGAUCCCGAAUAACACUGCUGAGUGGGGAAGAGAAGCAAGGGAGAGGAAGCACCAAGACAACGUGAAUCAUUAAACCAGUCACCACUCUGAACAACCGAGACUUGAUCCACGCUGGGAACUCGGAAUCCAGCAGAGAACAGACCCCAGAGCUAACUCUCUGCAGAUGAAGGGAAUGGAAUAUUGCUCCACUAGUCCCCACCAAUCAUUUUUUUGAAACUAACAUCACCGGUUUUCACUUGCAUCCUUUUUCUGUUCCAGCAUUCAAUUUAAGACCCCAUAUCGCAUUUAGUCAUCAUGUCUCCUUAACCUCUUCUUACCUGUGACAGUUCCUUAGUCUUUCCUUGCUUUUCAUAACCUUGAAAUAUUUG